UGCGCAGGCGGACCUGUCAGUCAGUGGUGAAAUCCCGGGGCUCAACUCCGGAACUGCCAUUGAUACUGCAGAUCUUGAAUACGGUUGAGGUAGGCGGAAUGUAGCAUGUAGCGGUGAAAUGCAUAGAUAUGCUACAGAACACCGAUCGCGAAGGCAGCUUACCAAGCCGAUAUUGACGCUCAGGCACGAAAGCGUGGGGAGCGAACAGGAUUAGAUACCCUGGUAGUCC
rnacentral:rRNA from 1 species